CUGGUCAUGAAGAUCAGCCAGAAUGCAAACAAAUACAGCUAGAUAUCAAAUCUAUAAUAAAGGAUAUUUCAGCCUUGACUCUUACUGAAGUUAGUUUGGAUAUGCCAAAAGCUGAUAUUCCUUCAGGAAAUAGUGAACCUUCUACAUCUGCAAAUCCUGAAGACAAAUGGGAAGAUAAAAUUGAACAAGAUAAUUUCCAUCCAGUACCAGGAAAAGAUGUUUUGGAAAAUGGUAAGAAUAUUCCAACUCAGUAUAUGUCAGUGUCAGCAACUGCUAAAUUUCAAAACAUGAGUCAUGAGGAGCUGCGUUUUAUACAUUACAUGAAACGUGAAGUACAUUCAGAUGAAUUACAUGCAGAGAAUUUACAUGAAAGAAAUACAUUGCCAAAAUUUUGCUUUUCAAAAAAGAUUCAUUGAAGUACAGUGCAGCACGAUUUUGUACUUGGAAAAGAAGCACUUGGACAAAAGACAGAAGCUUUUUUAUUUUCAAAGCAUUUCACAGUUGACAUCCAGAAGACCAAAGCAAGCAGAAUGAAAAAGCAACCAAAAUGGGUCGGUGUGUGAAAGAGGGAACUUCGCUGUUGGUCCUCCUCAAACAACAAGAUGGGCAGCACCUGAAUGAAAUAAUAAAAUGUACAGAUGC
rnacentral:lncRNA from 1 species